rnacentral:rRNA from 1 species
CCCUUAGAUGUUCUGGGCCGCACGCGCGCUACACUGAUGCAUUCAACGAGUCUAAAACCUGGUCUGAUAGGGCUGGGUAAUCUUUUGAAAGUGCAUCGUGAUUGGGAUAGAUGAUUGCAAUUCUUCAUCUUCAACGAGGAAUGCCUAGUAAACGCAAGUCAUCAGCUUGCAUUGAUUACGUCCCUGCCCUUUGUACACACCGCCCGUCGCUCCUACCGAUUGAAUGAUCCGAUGAAUACCAUGGAUUGAGAGUUCGAACAGGUUCGCCUGUUUCAGCUCCUCGAGAAGUGGAGUAAAUCUUAUCAUUUAGAGGAAGGAGAAGUCGUAACA